UACGGAGGGAGCUAGCGUUAUUCGGAAUUACUGGGCGUAAAGCGCACGUAGGCGGAUAUUUAAGUCAGGGGUGAAAUCCCGGGGCUCAACCCCGGAACUGCCUUUGAUACUGGGUAUCUUUGAGUCCGGAAGAGGUGAGUGGAAUUCCGAGUGUAGAGGUGAAAUUCGUAGAUAUUCGGAGGAACACCAGUGGCGAAGGCGGCUCACUGGUCCGGUACUGACGCUGAGGUGCGAAAGCGUGGGGAGCAAACAGG
rnacentral:rRNA from 1 species